AGGAGGAGGAGCAGGUAGAGGAGGAGGAGCAGGUUGAGGAGGUGGUAGAGGAGGAGGAGGUCGAGGAGCAGGUCAAUGAGGAGUUAGAGGAGGAGGUAGAGGAGGAGGAGGAGCAGGUCGAGGAGCAGGUCAAUGAGGAGGUCGAGGAGGAGGAGGUCGAGGAGCAGGUCAAUGAGGAGUUAGAGGAGGAGGUAGAGGAGCAGGUAGAUGAUGAGGAGGUAGAGGAGCAGGUAUAGGAUCAGGUAGAGGAGGUGGUAGAGGAGGAGGUCGAGGAGCAGGUCAAUGUGGAGGUCGAGCAGGAGGAGGUCGAGGAGGAGGUAGAGGAGCAGGUAGGUGAGGAGGAGGUAGAGUAGGAGGAGGAGCAGGUUGAGGAGGAGGAGGAGGUCGAGGAGGUGGUAGAGGAGGGGUAACAGGAGGAGAAGGAGGAGAAGGAGCAGGUCGAGGAGGUGGUAGAGGAGGGGUUAGAGGAGGAGGUAGAGGAGGAGGAGGAGCAGGUCGAGGAGGUGGUAGAGGAGUGGUUAGAGGAGGAGUUAGAGGAGGAGGUAGAGGAGGAGCAGGUAGAAGAGGAGGUAGAGGAGGAGGUAGAGGAGAAGGUAGAGGAGCAGGUGGAGGAGGAGGUCGAGGAGGAGGUAGAGGAGGAGGUAGGGGAGGAGAAGCAGGUCGAGGAGGAAGUCGAGGAGGAGGUAGAGGAGGAAGUCGAGGAGGAGGUAGAAUGUUUUAAGAAACUUCUAAAGAACCUCAUAGGUUCAAUU
ensembl:lncRNA